GACGAACGCUGGCGGCGUGCUUAACACAUGCAAGUCGAACGGAAAGGCCCUGCUUUUGUGGGGUGCUCGAGUGGCGAACGGGUGAGUAACACGUGAGUAACCUGCCCUUGACUUUGGGAUAACUUCAGGAAACUGGGGCUAAUACCGGAUAGGAGCUCCUGCUGCAUGGUGGGCGUUGGAAAGUUUCGGCGGUUGGGGAUGGACUCGCGGCUUAUCAGCUUGUUGGUGGGGUAGUGGCUUACCAGGGCUUUGACGGGUAGCCGGCCUGAGAGGGUGAACGGCGACAUGGGGACUGAGAUACGGCCCAGAGGGGAACGGGAGGCAGCAGUGGGGAAUAUUGCACAAUGGGCGGAAGUCUGAUGCAGCAACGCCGCGUGCGGGAAGACGGUCUGUGGGUUGUAAACCGCAGUAGCCUGAGACGAAGCGGGAGUGACGGUAAUGGGUAAAGAAGCACCGGCUAACUACGUG
rnacentral:rRNA from 1 species